AUGACGUAAUCGCCGACUUCCUUUGGAGGCCAUUUUGCCAACCAGAGAUUUGACAGUUCGCCUUGAACUUCGUCGCAUUAAAGUUCGGUGUUAAGGGGAAAAAAAGCCUCGUCGGUGACAAGAGAUGCAGCCGGUGGAUGUGACUGCGCAGGUUGGAGCGGGAAGGCGACUCACCCAACCGUGGUUACAUCCAGCUAACUCCAGUUGAGGGAGCCGUCCAGUCUGCCGCUGGGAAAAGACUUGGUGAAUUAUUGACAGCAAGUUCAAGGCAACAUCCGCGAGCGCUAAUGGCUGCAUGAAUUAAUGAAGAGAAAGCCACCGAUUCUACAUGACGUCUCACACAGAGCUGGAGGCAAAGCAACAGGAGCGAGGUGAGCGGCGGAGGACCAUGCACAUGACCCUGCGGCAUCCCACACACUCGCACACUUCAAGUCAUGCACACAAACGUUCUCGGAGCGAAAACCUUCCGUAUUUAUAAUAACAAUAAGCUUCCAAAAUAACACUGAAACAACAGUGCGGAGGGUUGCGGGCCGUCGGCACACACUGAUUUUUGGCAGCACAACCGGUAAUAUAAAGCUAACCAACUGUAGCAACAGAACAAGCAGACGGAGAAGGCGUGCAGCAGCAGGAGAAACGUUUUGUCGUCUUGAGUCCAACACCAGCGCUGCGGCAGGUCAUGCAUGAACAGGUUCACACGCACACACAGACACACGGUACUAACACAUCUGCCAAAGAAAAAUCCCUUUUUUUUGUCCUCCUUUUUUGUCCGAAAAAGCUGCUGCCAGAACAAGGAUGAGAGCGAGAGCAGGACGACUGAGGCCACGAGAGGAGGACCGGAGUUCCUUGGCUGGUUGGUUUUUUAUCUCCAAGCAAGCGGACUGGGUGGAGGGGGGCGCUCUUCUGCGAGUGGAGCGGGUUUUUUUUUUCUGCAGUCUCUACAGGGAGGUGGACGGAAGCUUCUUGACUCGCCGCUGAGCUAAGAAGGAGCUCUCGAUGGGCUUCAGCUCCGGGGUGGGCUGAGAGUUCUUCAGCGCCGAGUAGGUGGCUGCCAUGGCGCCCUGCAGGGUCGGCGUCACAUGGGUCAGUUCACAGCACAAACACGCCCUCGGAUGUGGCUUUAUUUUCCCAGGUGUCUGAUAUGCUUUUUAUAGUUAGCUUUUCCCAAUAUUGAGCUUUAUUUAAAGAUGCGCAACGGCCACCAUCUGCACCUAAAUUUGACAUAUUACAUUUGAAAUUUAGAGCCACUGUACUCCUGUUUAUCUUGUGAGUCAGUGGGAGCAAAAACAGGUCUGUGUUGCAGCGCACAGCAACUUCACCACCUUUUCACAUCUUGUGAACCCAUUAGCAUAGCGACAUGUUAUCUAGUUUCGCCGCAAGCCAGUGUCAUGUUCUGCUGACGUCAGCAAUCGAUGCUGGAUGCCGGACUGAGGUUACUCCAUUAACACUUGUGUUUGUGUAACAGUUGAGAAAACGCUCAGCUCCAUCUUGCAGGAGCUGCUUCAUGUGGAGCUAAAUCAUGGACAUCUGCAGGGGCUUAUGACCUACUCACCUUGACCAGUUUGGCGUCCUGGUGGGGCAGCUGGCUGUUGGGCAGUUUCUCUCGGUGGACGAUCCAGGGAUGUUUCAGAACCUCCCUCGCCGUCAGCCGCUGGUGCGGGUCCACAUGGAGCAUCUUGGAAACAAGGCUCUGGUGGGAGAACAUGUUGGAUCAGACGCUGGGCAGAAGCGGAACACCACCAACAUCCUACCUUGGCAGCGUCCGACACCGUGUCCCAGUUCCCUCCGCUCAGGCUGAAGUGACCGUUGCCUAUCCGGUUCAGGAUCUCGUUGGGAGUGUCCUCCGGCCCGUUAGCGAAGGGUGCGAAUCUGCGGGAGGGAGUGAAGGUGAGACCACGUGUGAGGAGGAGGAGCCUGGACCAGGUGAUCACCCACCCUGCCAGCAUGGUGUACAGCAGCACCCCCAAACUCCAGAUGUCGCAGCCUUCGUCGUAGCCCUGCCGCUUCAACACCUGCGGCGAACAGAGGCAAACCUUCAUCCCACCGGGUCGGACCAGUUUGGCAAGAGAGAGGAGAACCGUGCUCACCUCCGGAGCUACAAAGUUAGCCGUGUAGCACGGCGUCAUCAGCAGGCCGUUGUUAGCACGCAGCUGCUUAGCAAAGCCAAAGUCACAGAUCCUGAUGGACUCGGGGUUUCCAGACUCAUCCACAUAGAGGAUGUUGCUCGGCUUCAGGUCCCUGUGCACCACCUAGUGGACAAUCAGGGGAGCGCAUGUUUUUUUUUUUUCCCCACUGACUUCAGCAUGAUUUCAUUCAGUUCUUUUCCCGGUAAUGAGGAGUGAGAAGGUGCAGGGUUUGUUCUACAGAAGAGAAGAAGAAGAAGAGCAGGAGUCUUCCUCACUGACCCCCUGAGAGUGCAGGUACUCCACCGUCUUGGUGAUGGUGUGCAGGACGGCGCUGGCCUCGCGCUCGGAGAAGGACUUCUGUUUGAGGAUUCGGUCCAGCAGCUCUCCUCCGCGCAUCAGCUCCGUGACCAGGUACACCUGCUUCCCAGUGUCGUAGACCUGACACGCACAGACACACGGGCGUCAGUGACACACUCGCGCAGACCGACUCCAGGUGGCGCUCACGUCUUUAAGAGUGAUGAUGUUGGGGUGCUGGCCGUAUCGCAGGAGGAUCUCGAUCUCCUCCGACGGGUCGGCAUUGGUCUUGUCAAUCAUCUGUACAAACAAAACGAAACAUUUGACUCCUUUUUCUUGAAAGGCAGUUGGUCCUGGACCUUCUGACCUUGACAGCAUAUUCCAUGUUGGUGGCUUUGUGGAUGCAGCGCUUGCAGACAGAGAAGGAGCCCAUGCCGAUGUCCUCUUUUAGGACGUAACCAUCGCUGAACAGCAGGUUCUUUCCGUGCAGUUGCUACAGUCAAAGACGACAUUGCUUUAACUUGAGUGUUGCUGUGCAGAAAACAUCACCGGAACAAUGACUUCGCUCAGUUUGAAAAGACUCGCUGUGCAAAGCCAAGGAUUAGAGAGCCAUCUAGUGGCCACUGCCAGCAACUACCAAGUCCUAUGCUUCAUCUGUCUUUCAUUCUGACCUGGACCACCGGGUGAGGCGGGGGCUGGACCGGCUCCGUCAAGCCUUCCUCUUCUAACAGAGUGGAUGCAAUGAAGCUGAAGCCUCUGAAGAGCUGGUGGGCUCCGGCACUAGGGGGCACGCCAGGGGAGUCUGGAAGAGCAACUCACUGCUGAGUCUUCCAGUCUUUCACAUUGUGUUUGACAAGAACAAUGACGGCAGAUGAUUAAGAUAAGGCCGGACCUUUGGGAGUGCGGGACGUGUACUCUGAGUCGAAGUAGAAGGUGUCAUCCGGGCGAGCCACAGCCGGGCGGAACGGAGGCUUCACCUCUCUUCGGAAGAGUUUCUGGAUGGACAGAAGGGAUGGUGUGACGGACAGGUCGGUUGGGAGAGAGGGCAGCUCCUCACUUACAUUCCAGUCGAUGGUGGCGAAGAACUCAUGGCGCUUGAUCUCUUCCACCCCGUCGGGUCCAGACCCUGGCCAUCAGAGCAGCGCGGUGAGACAGCAGCUUCAAACACCUCUACAGAUGAAGCUCACCGAGUCUGUUGGCCGGGUUCCUCUUGAAGAGAGCUCGCAGCAGCGCCUGAGCUUCCGCGCUCAGGAACUGUGGCAUCCCCAGACGGGUCCUGCAGAGAGGCGUGAGACAGCUGAGGCACCGUGGGUCGCUCCGCUUCACGGAUCACGUGGAGAAGACUCACUUUAAAAUGAGGUUCAUGGUUUCUUUGCGGUCUUUGCCGUGGAAGGGCAGCGCUCCUGUCAGCAUCUCAAACUGGAGGAGAGAGGCGUCAGGUGGAGCGACAGCACGUUUCUCACUCUCACACAUCAACAGGCCCUCACCAUCAGUACUCCAAACGACCACCAGUCGGCGCUGUGGGUGUGGCCCUGCCGGUUGACCACCUCUGGUGCCAUGUACUCCACAGUGCCACAGAAGGAAUAGGCUUUGGACUCAUGUCCGAUGGCUUCUUUACACAGACCAAAGUCUGACAGACAAACAAGGUGGUGGCACUUUAGAGACAAUGUUUACAACUGUAGAUGAAGCAGCAGUUUGUUCUCCUGCAUCGAGCAGCAAACACGGAAGUGAAUCUUGGUAUUGAUGACAGGAAACACGAGUGCGCUCAGAUAAGGGUGUCACAACUCAGAUAUGUAGGUCAACAAGGUUGCUGGAGUGUGACAGAGAGAGUGGCGUCAGAGACGUCCAUGAGUGAGCAGAAAGCUCAACGUUUUCAUCACAGCAGUUUCUCUGGAGAAGACACCAGCUCCGCUAUGGCUUCCUGUUUGUUGAGAAGUGAUGAAACCCCACAAACCGCUGAGAUGAUUCUGCUGACUCUCACACUCGGAGCUCAAGCAAGGAGUGGCUUCAUUCAGCCGAGUCACUGUUCAUCUGAUCAGCCAGAGAGAGCGACUGACCUGUGAGCUUGAUGUGUCCUUCCUCAUCCAGCAGAAUGCUGCAAGACAGAAACAACACUUGAGCUUUGGGAUUUCAGAAGAACCCUCCACAGGCAAGCCUCCGUCAACAGUGCACCUACGUCUGGCGCCAAGAAAACCAGAAUUGUAUUUUACCACGGGUUUAAUCUGGAACUGCCCAAACACAGCAGGCUUGAGGUCUCUGUAGAUGAUGCCCAGGCUGUGCAGGUGGUCCAGCCCCAGAGCCAACUCGGCCAGGUAGAACUUGACGUCCUCCUCUGUGAACAUCACCUGAGAGACAGCGGGAGAGUCUCAGGCAGGAGGUCAGCAGCUGCAUGACCUGCGGCGGUCAGUCACCCACUUCCUUGGAACAGCUUCUUCUACGUGCCCUGAAGUGCCAAGUCAUGACCAUUGACUUACGACUCCCUCAAGAUACAAGCUGCCAUUCGUUGUUUGGGAUAUUUGGGAUGAAAAAAACUGAUGAUGUAUCCGGGAUUAAAGAGGAGGAACUCAGAAAAGGUUCCUCUGUGCCUCCGCUGUGCUGCUGCUCACGUCCAACUUGGCCGCUGACCUGCAGCCGCCGGUCAGCACCCUGGUCUUCUUGGACAGCCGCUGCUGGCUGGACCUGUCCUCAGUGCCACUCUGAAGUUUUCAUCUUGUUCCUCAGCUCUUCUGUCCUCCCUCCCUCGCUCGCUGAGUGUGAGUGAUGUGUCACUGACUACAGCUGAACGGGAACCAAUUUCGGCAGGAAGGAAGAAGCGAAUCAUUCUCACAGUGCUGCACUCCACAAGACCAACCACCGAGCGUCUGCUUGAAGCUCACUUCCUCCCUGCUCCAUGACUUCAGCCAGUGAACACAUGGCCGCGGUGUGUAACCCAGCAUGACGGUUCACAGUCUCCGUUCAUCUCCUCACUUGUUCUAAAGUUGCGCUGCUGUUCCGACGACAGCGCCAGAACAACUGUCUACUCCCCUGUUAGGACCUGACUCGCUUCCAAAAAGCCUCACAAGCAUCUUAGAUGUGUCAUCCACGUGGAAACGCAGCUGCUACUUGCCUCUCGUGCGCGGGUUCUGGUCCGAAACAAGAGUCUCCACAUGUCUGAGCCCAGAUGAUCCCAUCUCAGCCACCCUCUGCCACACUCUCCAGCGAACGUGCCGGGCUCCGGGCACUUGUUUGAGCAAAGCCACGAUGACACAAUGGCUCGCACAGCUGAAAUGGGAAGUGAAGCAGCGACUGGUUGAGGUAAGAGUUGGAACUCAUGCCUUGUCAGUCGUUGGACUUUCCACAAAGGUGAAUUUGAAAGAAAAAAGCUCGUGUUCUCUGGAGUGACGGGCAGCUCUCAGAGAAGACAGAGACAUCUCACAAGUUUGUCGAGAACAUCGCCGCCAGGACACACAGAAAAAAAGCCUCCUGUUUCAAGUGCUCAAAUCUCUGAGGUAUUCAACUCCACAAACGGCUUUUGUGCAAGAUUCACGCGGAAACUGUCCAACAAACCAAAAUUCUAUAAAAAUAAGAGAUGAUGUAAUGCCCCCCAGGAGCCACAAGGGGCCAGUGCCGUUCUUCCCGCGGAUCGGACAAGACUCACUCAGCUGGCCAAGUAAGGGCAUGUUCGCGUUGCUGCUUCAAAUCUCCGGGGUUGUUCAGAUGAAACCCACAGCGAGGAGACAGGACCAUCAGUGUGCGUGUGUGAGAGUCUCCAACUGCUCUUUUCCUGGAAAGUGGAAGCUGCAGCACCUGUGGGUUUUCAACUACAUGACAGUUCCGGCCGCCUCUGAUUCCAACAGAGAGACACCAGCACACAGACGGAACCAAUGUUUGUACUGUGGAGACAGACUGGAAUCACUCCCAGCAAGAAUGAACUUUAAGCAGAAAAAAAUAAAAUAAAAUAAGCGUUUUAAAGUCACAUCUCAAGUUGAACUACUUAUUUCUAACACACCACAAAAAACAAAACAAAAAAUAAAAAUAGCUGUCAGAAACAUUUCAGCCACA